GUCUCUAGUGAUUAACUUCGAUCUUCCGAACAAUCGUGAGCUUUACAUUCAUCGAAUCGGUCGAUCUGGUCGUUUUGGGCGUAAGGGUGUGGCCAUAAAUUUUGCGCGCAAGGAUGACAUAAGAAUAUUGAGAGACAUCGAGCAGUAUUAUAGUACCCAGAUCGAUGAAAUGCCGAUGAACGUGGCCGAUCUUAUCUAAGCAUCCCAGGUGAACUAUAUGGCU
rnacentral:misc_RNA from 1 species